rnacentral:rRNA from 1 species
UACGAAGGGGGCUAGCGUUGUUCGGAAUUACUGGGCGUAAAGCGCGCGCAGGCGGUCUUCCAAGUCAGUGGUGAAAGCCCGGAGCUCAACUCCGGAACUGCCAUUGAAACUGUAAGACUUGAGGACGAGAGAGGUGAGUGGAAUUCCCAGUGUAGAGGUGAAAUUCGUAGAUAUUGGGAAGAACACCGGUGGCGAAGGCGGCUCACUGGCUCGUAUCUGACGCUCAGGCGCGACAGCGGUGGGGAUCAAACAGG